GCCCUUCGGGGUGGAUUAGUGGCGAACGGGUGAGUAACACGUGGGCAAUCUGCCCUUCACUCUGGGACAAGCCCUGGAAACGGGGUCUAAUACCGGAUAACACUCUGUCCCGCAUGGGACGGGGUUAAAAGCUCCGGCGGUGAAGGAUGAGCCCGCGGCCUAUCAGCUUGUUGGUGGGGUGAUGGCCUACCAAGGCGACGACGGGUAGCCGGCCUGAGAGGGCGACCGGCCACACUGGGACUGAGACACGGCCCAGACUCCUACGGGAGGCAGCAGUGGGGAAUAUUGCACAAUGGGCGAAAGCCUGAUGCAGCGACGCCGCGUGAGGGAUGACGGCCUUCGGGUUGUAAACCUCUUUCAGCAGGGAAGAAGCGAAAGUGACGGUACCUGCAGAAGAAGCGCCGGCUAACUACGUGCCAGCAGCCGCGGUAAUACGUAGGGCGCAAGCGUUGUCCGGAAUUAUUGGGCGUAAAGAGCUCGUAGGCGGCUUGUCACGUCGGAUGUGAAAGCCCGGGGCUUAACCCCGGGUCUGCAUUCGAUACGGGCUAGCUAGAGUGUGGUAGGGGAGAUCGGAAUUCCUGGUGUAGCGGUGAAAUGCGCAGAUAUCAGGAGGAACACCGGUGGCGAAGGCGGAUCUCUGGGCCAUUACUGACGCUGAGGAGCGAAAGCGUGGGGAGCGAACAGGAUUAGAUACCCUGGUAGUCCACGCCGUAAACGUUGGGAACUAGGUGUUGGCGACAUUCCACGUCGUCGGUGCCGCAGCUAACGCAUUAAGUUCCCCGCCUGGGGAGUACGGCCGCAAGGCUAAAACUC
rnacentral:rRNA from 1 species